rnacentral:rRNA from 1 species
GAUGAACGCUGGCGGCGUGCUUAAUACAUGCAAGUCGAGCGAACGGACGAGAAUCUUGCUUCUCUGAUGUUAGCGGCGGAGGGGUGAGUAACACGUGGAUAACCUACCUUUAAGACUGGGAUAACUUCGGGAAGGCUGAUCUAAUACCGGAUAAUCUUUUGAACCGCAGGGGUUAAAAGGGAAAGGCGGUCUUGGUGUCACUUGGGGAUGGAUCCGCGCUGCAUUAGCUAGUUGGUAAGGUAACGGCUUACCAAGGCAACGAUGCAUAGCCGACCUGAGAGGGUGAUCGGCCACCCUGGAACUGAGACACGGUCCAGACUCCUACGGGAGGCCGCAGUAGGGAAUCUUACGCAAUGGGCGAAAGCCUGACGGAGCAACGCCGCGUGAGUGCUGAAGGUCUUCGGAUCGUAAAACUCUGUUAUUAGGGAAGAACAUAUGUGUCAGUAACUGUGCACAUCUUGACGGUACCUGGUCAGAAAGCCACGGCUAACUACGUG